rnacentral:rRNA from 1 species
CCUACGGGAGGCAGCAGUGAGGAAUAUUGGUCAAUGGACGAGAGUCUGAACCAGCCAAGUAGCGUGAAGGAUGACUGCCCUAUGGGUUGUAAACUUCUUUUAUAUGGGAAUAAAAUGUUCCACGUGUGGGAUUUUGUAUGUACCAUAUGAAUAAGGAUCGGCUAACUCCGUGCCAGCAGCCGCGGUAAUACGGAGGAUCCGAGCGUUAUCCGGAUUUAUUGGGUUUAAAGGGAGCGUAGGUGGAUUGUUAAGUCAGUUGUGAAAGUUUGCGGCUCAACCGGAAAAUUGCAGUUGAAACUGGCAGUCUUGAGUACAGUAGAGGUGGGCGGAAUUCGUGGUGUAGCGGUGAAAUGCUUAGAUAGCACGAAGAACUCCGAUUGCGAAGGCAGUUCACUGGACUGCAACUGACACUGAGGCUCGAAAGUGUGGGUAUCAAACAGGAUUAGAUACCCCAGUAGUC